rnacentral:lncRNA from 1 species
UUCAGCGAGAUGAUAAUUCAUAUUGAAAUUGAUAUAUAAAUUAUUAUGCCUUUUUGUUUUGGCCAAUUCAAAUCAACACAACCCAACACAAAAACGAGGACAAAAUGAAAAUAUAAAUCUGAUUUUAUUAAUACUUUUUUUAAGAUCAUAAUUAGUUUAUUAGAUAGUUAAAUAUCAAGAUAAUUUUUAAAACAGUAGUGAAUAAUUUUUCAUUGUUAUUGAUUGAUGUCUGAUAGUCUUGACGAUGGCUGUUAGGUUGGUAACUUUUGCUGAGAUACAUAUAAGAAUAUAUAUAUAAAAUGACUUGAACCAAUUACAAAAAAAAAAAAAAACAACACGCCUGAACCUAAUGUGGCUCCAAGCCUGCCAUUUCCCCAAUAUCACAUGCCGGCUCUCACUUUAAUGGCCGGGCCUUUUCAAAUCUAAUACUUCUCGUCUUCAACGCUAAGUCCCUCCCCUACCUCGCGUUUCCCGGACAAAUUUCAAUCCUUAAAUAUCAAGUAGCACACCACGUGGCGAUUCCCCACCCUUUUAAAUGUACUCCAGUUCUCGUCACCUUUGCUCCGCAAUCAAACAGUUUUAGUUACAAAGAAUUAAUACUUUUAAAAGUUUUGAUGAUGUAUAUAUAUGUGUGACAGAUUUAAGAUUAGGAAAUGCUUCUUCUCCCUUUUUAUACAAGAAUGCAUCUCCUUGCCAUUAAAAAUAUAUUUUUUCAUAAAAACUUAAUUAUUUCACUAACUUUUUACCUCACAAUUAGUAACCACAGCUGCCUUUUUUUUUUUUUGUCAACCUGAUCCUUCCAUAAAACUACCAAAUAAAUUGAAUUCCAUUUCUUUCUAUGGUUCUAUUUAUAGAUUAGACUAUUUAAUUCGACUACUAAAUA